rnacentral:tRNA from 1 species
CACAAGCAAGUGGCUAUCAGGACUCAGUGGCCGAGUGGAUAACGCGAUGGCGUUUGAAGCGAGGGU